rnacentral:rRNA from 1 species
GACGAACGCUGGCGGCGUGCCUAAUACAUGCAAGUCGAGCGACUCAAUAGGAGCUUGCUCCUGUUGGUUAGCGGCGGACGGGUGAGUAACACGUGGGCAACCUGCCUGUAAGACUGGGAUAACAACGGGAAACCGGUGCUAAUACCGGAUAAUCCUUUUCCUCUCAUGAGGAAAAGCUGAAAGUCGGUUUCGGCGGACACUUACAGAGUGGCCCGCGGCGCAUUAGCAAGUUGGUGAGGUAACGGCUCACCAAGGCGACGAUGCGUAGCCGACCUGAGAGGGUGAUCGGCCACACUGGGACUGAGACACGGCCCAGACUCCUACGGGAGGCAGCAGUAGGGAAUCUUCCACAAUGGACGAAAGUCUGAUGGAGCAACGCCGCGUGAGCGAUGAAGGCCUUCGGGUCGUAAAGCUCUGUUGUUAGGGAAGAACAAGUACCGGAGUAACUGCCGGUACCUUGACGGUACCUAACCAGAAAGCCACGGCUAACUACGUGCCAGCAGCCGCCGUAAAAC